UUCUUUAUUAACGUCGAAUCCCCAAUUGUCAAACUCUAUGCCCAUAACCUCUAAUAACCCAUCACCUGUAUCUUUUCCACCACCUCCGACCCCUUUACAGAACCUUCUCCCUCUGAUCCUAUGAUAACUCGAGAGGCUACAACUCACCGAUCUUAAGCCAACUCUAACUCCCAGUGUUCUUAGAAAACACUUAUCCAUCUCCGAUGGAAUCCCGCUUUUAGAUCCUUUUACUUACCAAAGUGCAAUAGAAGCACUGCAAUAUUUAGCAACCACUCGUCCUAAUAUAGCCUACAUUGUAAACCGCCCUAGUCAGUUCCUAUAAAACCAAUUGAGUUACAUUAACGAGCAGUAAACCAUGUACUACAUUACAUCAGUGGCAUAAAGUCCUUUGGACAUCUAUUUCAACUAAGUGCUGACUUAUCUAUAUGUGCUUACUUUGAUGCUAAAUUGGAUCGAAUAUUGAUGAUUGUAAAUCCAUUGCUACUUAUUGUGUAUUUAUUGGACCCAAUCUAGUUUCAUGGUCUUUCAAGAAGCAAAUAGCAGUUGCUAGAUGCAGUACUGAGUUGAAAUACAGGGCCCUCGCACAUGGUGCACCUGAGGUCAUAUGGUUCACUCAACUUCUUGAAGAAAUUGCUGUCUCCUCAAAACAAAAACCAAUUUUGUGCUUGCCCCACGAAGACCCUCACACAUUCUCGUUUUGAUGUCUUUGUUCCAAACUUGGAUGCUGAAUCUACUCUCUUGUUUGAGGGGGGAUGUUAGGAAAUAAUUCUAGAAGCAUCUAUUGGUUGAAAGAAAUUUACCACAACCGAUGGUUCUCUUCCACAGAAAGUGAAAGAAUCAGAAGAGCGGAGUCCAUAUUAAUUAUCGGAGGUGGACCUACCGGCACCGAACUGGCCGGAGAGAUCACCAUAGAGUUUCCAAACAAAGCGAUCACUCUAGUCCACGACGGACCAAGGGUGUUGGAAUUCAUGGGUCCAAAGGCUUCAGAGAAGGCUUUGAGAUGCCUGUUUCCAAAAGGGUGAAUGUAAAAUUGGAACAAACAAUUAAUGUAAACGACAUGUGGGAUGGAAACUGGCUUUAGAAGUUCAAAGGGUAAUACUAUUAGAGCUUAUUGCCAUUUAGUAUGCACUGGAAAAGCAGUAGCAUUGGCUUGGCUUAAAAAAAGCACAUCGAAAAAGAGUUUGGAUACGAAUGGAAGAUUGAUGGUGGAUGGAUAUUUGAGAGUUAAAGACCAGCAUAAUAUUUUUGCCAUUGGAGACAUCACUGACAUUCGAGAAUACGGUAGAUGCAGCGGCGGGAGGAGCUCUAGCCAACAAGACCCCCACCGAAGCAUGGGAGCUCAUUUCAAGAAUGGCAGAAAAUUCCCAAAGCUUUGGGAAUAGAGCAUCGGAGCUUGAAAAUUCUCUAACAAAAUAGGUAAGUGAAUUAAAAUCACAAAUGUUAAAUAUGACUACUCUUUUUACUUCUUUUUUACAAGGUACUCUCUUAAAGUAACCAAGUAUGGAGUUUGUGGCUUGGUUGGUCAUCCAAAUGACAAAUGUCCCGAGGUGAUCGAGGAUGUAAACAUUGUUCGAAGAUAUGACCCCACGGUAAUACAUACAAUUCGGGGUGGAGAGACAACCCAAACUUAAGAUGGGAGAAUGACAACCAAAAGCAUACACAAGCACCACCCACCUCUUCAAACCAAGGUACGAAUCUUGAAGAUAUUAUCAAAGCUUUAACAACUAACACUCUUUCUUUUCAACAAGAGAUGAAACAACAAAUGAUUCAACUUACUACCACCAUAAGCAAGAUGGAUGGGAAAGGAAAACUUCCGGCUCAACCGGACUAUGCUGAUGCAAGUGCCAUUUCACUAAGGAGUGGUAAGAUUCUUGACACCCCCACCACCAAAGAGAAAAAGGUUGGCUCCAAAAAAGAAGGAAACACCCAAGGAGGAAGAACUCUUGGAGAUGUUUAGAAAGGUGCAAAUCAACUUGCCCCUUCUCGAUGCAAUCCAACAAGUCCCGAGGCAUGCAAAGUUUCUAAAGGAGUUGUGUACCAACAAGAGGAAAACAAAAGAAAGACCAUGAAACUAGGAAUUAAGCUCAAAACUCUCCCACCACACUUGAAAUACAUAUUCUUAGGAAAAAAGAAUAUGUUUCCCAUAAUCAUCUCAAGGGAACUAAACCAAAAACAAGAAGAAAGACUUAUCGAAGUCUUGAAGAAGAAAAAGCAAGCCAUUGGUUGGACUCUUGACGACAUCAAGGGCAUAUCUCCCACUUUUUGUAUGCACCGUAUUAUCUUGGAGGAGGGAGCAAAAGACAAAAUCCAACCACAAAGAAGGCUUAACCCAACAUUGAAGGAAGUUUUCAUGAAAGAGGUACUAAAGCUAAAAGAUGCCGGAAUUAUCUACCCCGUCCCAGAUAGUACAUGGGUAAGUCCAAUUCAUGUGGUCCUAAAGAAGACCGGGAUGACCAUUGUAAAGAACGACAAAGGUGAGAUGGUUCCGAUGCGAAUGCGAAAUGGAUGGAGAAUGUGCAUAGAUUACCGGAAACUCAAUGAGAUGUACCAUUUCUGAUUGAUGACAAUUGUAAGAAGGCAUUUGAUGAUCUCAAACAAAGGUUAGUCUCUACCCCUAUCCUUCAAUCUCCUAAUUGAAAUUUACCUUUUGAAAUAAUGUGUGAUGCAAGCAACUUAGCAUUAGGAGCUGUUUUAGGACAAAGGAUAGAUAAAAAAUUGCAUGCUGUCUACUAUGCAUCUAGGACCCUUAACCAAGCACAAUCUAACUAUACCACAACUGUAAAAGAAUUUCUUGCUAUCGUUUUUGCUUUAGAUAAGUUUAGAAGCUACAUUAUUGGCUCCCCAGUAAUUGUUUACAUUGAUCAUGCAGCGGUUAGGUACCUUGUAUCAAAAAAAGAAUCAAAACCAAGACUUGUUCGAUGGGUUUUACUUUUGCAAUAAUUCAACCUAACCAUCAAGGAUAGAAAAGGAGCCAACAAUUCUAUAGCCGACCAUCUUAGUCGAAUUGUACAAAAGCAAGAAAGUAUGCCAAUUCGAGAAGACUUCCCUAGUGAACAUCUCUUUCAAACAAAUCUUCAAGCACCAUCGUACGCCGAUAUUGUAAACUACUUAGUCCGGAUUUGGCAUUCCAAGGGCAAUCAUUAGCGAUCAAUAAACACACUUUUGCAAUCGGACCUUGAAGCCUUGAUGAGAAAAUAUGGUGUUCAACACCAUAUUUCUACACCAUACCAUCCUCAAACGAACGGACAAGCCGAAACUUCUAACCGAGAGAUAAAAGAUAUCCUAGAGAAAACCGUCAACACAAAAAGGAAGGAUUAGAGCCUUUACCUCAAUGAUGCACUUUGGGCAUACCGAACGGCCUAUAAAACUCCAAUUGGCACAUCUCCGUUCAAGCUUGUGUAUGGGCAAUUUCACUUGAAGAAAUCAAAGAAUCAUAAAAGGAAGCAACCACUUCACUUUGAAGCAAGCUUUAAAAUCAAAGUCCUCAAAUGCAGGGGAGUUUUGUGUUCCUUGGUAUUUUCAUACAUUUUUUUUUACAUAAAUAUGCUUUGAGGACAAAGUAAAGUUUUUAAGUUGGGGGUGGGUACUAGUUAAAGUGGGUUGCUAAUUUUUUUUUCUUCUUUUAAGCAUUUACAUGACUUGGGUAGAUUAAAAUUGACCAUUUUUUUUUUAGUACUAUUCUGAAUGCAUGAAUGAAAUGAAUGUUGUUUGCUUGAAUGAAUGCUUGCAAAAGAAAAUGCAUGAAUGUUAACUUUUUUGCAAAGUUUCUUAUGAUGAUUGCCUAUGAUACACCUCUCUUGGCAAAUUGUGUUUUGAUUUUAAAUAGGAUAAAGAACCAUUUAUGAAAUUGAGGUUAAUUUUUAAACUUUUCAUCUCUUUGACUCAUGAAUUAGAAAAUCCCUUUGUCGAGCCAUGACGAACUUAGAAGUCUUUAGAAAAGAAUAGAAUGCUUAAAUUCGCUUAUUGUAACUUCAAAAGAACGGUCAAUCAUAGAACCAAAUAGAUUAAAUCCAAGAUUAGAGUUAGCCAAACUGGAGUUAAGCAAAAAGCUUGCUACCAAAAAUAGAAUCCCUAAAAAAAAAAGUACGAUUAAGUCGAACGUUAGGAUUUUUUCCAUGAUCAGUUAGGAUUACCCGAUGUUAGUGAGAUACGAAUCCCUACGGAAAAAGCCUAUCCUUUGCCUUAGUAAAACCCGUACAAUUCUAUCUUAGAAUUUUCUAGCUAGUCUCAACGUUUUGACCGAGGGCUGAGUUUAAGGAGGGAUCCUUCCCGCUUCAGAGUAGAGGGAAAACAAGCCUAGGCAUUUUUGAAUUCUUUUGAAGCAUGUCUAGUGAGUCGAAAUAGCAAGACUUAGAUGUUUUAUCUAAACACGAUUUCAAUAAAUGAACUUUAUUAAAAAUCAACCUCAAACUGACUACUUGCUUCUGUUGAAUAUUUAAUUGAUAAUAAAAAAAUUACUUUGCUGAAUUGUUAAGGCAUGAGUAACAUCCUUUGCAUAUUUGUUUGAAAACAUCAUCAAAAUUUUUGCAUGAUUGUUUGAGUUUAAUUCUUGCAAAAUAAUAUGUGAAUCCCUUUCAUGAUGAAUGACUGAAUAUUAGCACAUUUUUAAUUUUCUUGCUCGGGAUGAACAAGUCUUAAGUUGGGGGUAUUUUGUUAGGGCUAUUUUAGACCUAACAUUAUUAGACUAAUUUUUCCUAACCUUUAUCCAUUUACUCAAUAAAAUAUUAUUCUUAUGAAGAAUAUGAAACUUCACCCCGAUACGAGUUUAACGCCACUGAAAUCACUUAAAUCGGAGUUAUAACGAAGAAGAACGGUAAAAAACAAGUUCAAGGACAAAACCGGGAAAUUGAAAAAGAUCAAACGAACCAGAUCGCACCACGUGGCAUCACCAAAUCACGCCACGCGUCUGCCUCGAAGUCACGUGUUCGAACCCCAGCUCAAAUAUAAGUUAUGUAACUACCAGCACAAAAGGAUACUGCGCCUUAUGUGAGUGUACGACGAUGGCUCCAUCUUCUUCUCGACAUCUUUCCAUGUUAUGUCAAUCUUGAAUUCCUCAUUAACUUAGGGAAGAGGAAAGUGCAAAAAUACCCCCUAAAUUUGAAAUAAAAAGAAAUUUCAUGAGAUACACAUUGUACAUAAAGGAAUAAGAGCACCUGUAACAAUGUAAAUUUAGAUUCAAAUGCAAGCAUGUUUCAUAUGUUCUCUA